CCAACAGCCUGUACCCCAGCCGAGGUGAUGGCCCUUGCACAGAACCGUGCACGGCCUAUUAUUGAGGGGUUUGAGGGAGGAACAUCCUCAGAUGUUGUUCCUUCUAGUAAUGUGCAAUCGUAUGUUAAAGGUAUGGUAGGUCUUUACUCUGUUUCUCCUCUCUGCCUUGCUUUCUGUUAAAUGUCUUAAACAAAUAUUCUAAUGCAUUACAGUAGUGGAUGGUGUCUUGACCCUCUUGGAUCCUGAACAACAGCCAUUAGAAUCUGUUAUCGCGGGGCCAUCCACGACACAGGAGGAUGAGGAAACUGUUUCUGUUUGCUCAGAAAUGCUAGCCGUAUGAACUUGAAACUAUUUUGCAGCGAAUAACAUUUGUCUCUUCCUUAUAAACCCAUGCAGUAUUUGCUGUGUACAGGAGUCUGAAGACCCAGGUGGCCAAUGCUCUCAGCCCUCAUCAGCACAGCCCACAUGUACUCCAAGACCGUCAAAGGAAGAAGGUAAGUAAUAAACUGUUUAAUGUAAUUAA